CGCUGUCCUUUUGACUCUUUUUGUCAUUAAAGGACGUUGGAAGAGGCUUGCACCAAGGCUGUUUGCUUGUCCAGCCCUAGCUCUUUUCUUCUGCGCAUGGGCCUCUUCGAUGCUCGAAGCUUAGCGUCCCCCCAUGAGUACGCGCUUCCUGCUUUCCCGUGCUUGCUUGCCUGUGCUCUGUGGGGCAGCUUUAUGACAACCGUCCCGCGUGUCAGGCGUUCCCGAUUUCCCCGUGGUGGUUGUCGUCCGUUACCGGUAGGAGUCGUUGGUGCCGAGUGCGACUGGAAGGGUUUUCCCGUUUGGUGCUAGUGACCCCCUGGCGUGCUCCUCUGCGGCCGACCGGUUUUUUUAUUUGUUUUUUUUUUUUUGUUUUUUUUUUGUUUUUUGGAAGGAG
rnacentral:lncRNA from 1 species